GCUAUGCCCUGAACAUUGAUUAGGCCUUUAUACAAUGCCUUCCGCCAGAGAACUACAAGUGAAAAACUUGAAACUCAAAGGACUUGGCGGUGUCCCAUAUCGACCUAGAGGAGCCUGUCCUAUAAUCGAUAACCCCCGCUCCACCUAACCUCUGCUAGCCAUGCCAGCCUAUAUACCGCCGUCGACAGUCUACACCAUGAGGGUCCAACAGUAGACAAAAUAGUCAUACCACUAACACGUCAGGUCAAGGUGUAGCAAAUGCUGAGGUAGAGAUUGGCUACAUUUUUUAUUCUAAAAAACCACGAAAUGCACCAUGAAACCCCCGCACGAAGGUGAAUUUAGUAGUAAAAUAAAUAAGAGAAUUUGUUUUAACAACGCUCUGGGACGCGCACACACCGCCCGUCACCCUCCUCAACAAUCUAAUUUAUCUUACAUAAACCAAGAUAUUAACCACUAGAGGAGGU
rnacentral:rRNA from 1 species